rnacentral:lncRNA from 1 species
GGUAAUGACCAUGCCGGCAAUUGACCGGUCCGGUUCGGUACGCAUGAACUAAGCGGUUUGGCAUGGUUCAACAAACUUUGAUUUGUCCUCUACUGGUCCAAUACGAGCUAGUUUAAUAAGACUUCCCCCUACUUAAUCUUCUUGGAAUAUAUUGAUUAUUCCAACCAGGCUGACCUUAUUCCCAUAUGGCAAUAUGAAUAGUGGAUUCAAGGGUUGAAAUAUGGCUGGUAGAUCAUCUGUUUCUCUAAUAUCCAAAAAUCAUUAAACAAAUGUUCCCUUAUUGAUUUGGAAGGAAACUCUGUGGUAUUGAAAAUUUUCUUGCUAAUUAACUCCAUAAUUGACUUCUGGUUCAAUCGGUCCAAAGAUUUUAAUGUUCCUAAUGCUCAGCAUAAAGGCAAAUAAACUUGCAUGCCUCAUUUAUUUCAUUCCAUAAAUCAACUAACUGGUGUCAAUUUGUGUCACGCCCCGAACCCAGCACCGGGUCCGGUACGCGACCGGCCGCAUGAGCCCUAGAGCAGUGCCCUAAAGAUCAUGCAAG